UUGACCUCAAAUCAGGUAGGACUACCCGCUGAACUUAAGCAUAUCAAUAAGCGGAGGAAAAGAAACUAACAAGGAUUCCCCUAGUAACUGCGAGUGAAGCGGGAAAAGCUCAAAUUUAAAAUCUGGCGGUCUUGCGGCCGUCCGAGUUGUAAUCUGGAGAAGCGUUUAUCCGCGUCGGACCGUGUACAAGUCUUCUGGAAGGGAGCGUCGUAGAGGGUGAGAAUCCCGUCUUUGACAUGGGCUGCCAGGGCUUUUGUGAUGCGCUCUCAAAGAGUCGAGUUGUUUGGGAAUGCAGCUCAAAAUGGGUGGUAAAUUC
rnacentral:rRNA from 1 species